ACCCGCUGAAUUUAAGCAUAUAAGUAGGCAGUGGGUAAUUAACUAAGAAGGGUGCCCUCAGUAAUGGCGAAUGCACAGGGAUUGGCUCAACGUGGAAGUUGGGGCAACUGGCCCUGAGUUGUAGUUUUAAGACAUGCAACCAAUGGAGGUGCAGAUGCAAGCCUUUGGAGCAUGAGUAUUGGGAAGGGUGAGAAUCCUGUUUAUCAUAUGUGGAUCCUUUCCAUAUGUGGUGUAUUGUCCAUGAGUUAUACUCCCUGGGGUUGGUGUGUGAAGUGGGUGGUAAAGUUCAUCUGAAGACGAACAUGGAUCCAGGGCCAACAGUGAACAAGUACCAUGAGGGAAAGGUGAAACAGGACUUUGAAUAGAGUGAUAAUAAUGCUUGAACAUGCUGUACAUGAAAUGAGGGGAUAUCUGUGCUUCUUGGGAAGAUUGCUGCACGCAGUUCUGCCUGCCUGCUGCAGUCUAAGCAAGUGUGGCUGUGGGUACUAAACAGUGCAGAGGGUGUGCAGAGCAUCUUGCCUUGUGUGUCGGAGUCAGCGCAUUGCGUCAAGGAAUUAGUGGGUGUUGGGUAGACUGUUGCUUGGUGGAUGAAUGCAACUGUCCAUUCAUGUGCAAGUGCUGAGUGGUGACUGCGUGGUGCCAUUUAUCCUGUCUUGAAACACAGAUCGAGGAGUCUAACGAAUGUGCAAAUGCACAGGUGACAGUCACCUAGUUGUGCAAUGAGCAUGCUGGUUGGGAUAUCUGCGCCAGCCACUGACAUUUCGUGUGUGGAAGGCCUGAGUGUGAGCAGCUGUGUUAGGACCCGAAAGAUGGUGAACUAUGCCUGUGAAGAGGUAAGUUCAGGGGAAACUCUGAUGGAGGCCUGCAGUGAUACUGACGUGCAAAUCGUUCGUCGUACAUCGG
rnacentral:rRNA from 1 species